CCUACGUGAGGCAGCAGUGGGGAAUAUUGCGCAAUGGGCGAAAGCCUGACGCAGCGACGCCGCGUGAGGGAUGAAGGUCUUCGGAUCGUAAACCUCUGUCAGCAGGGAAGAACGGUCACUGUGCUAAUCAGCAGUGAAUUGACGGUACCUGCAAAGGAAGCACCGGCUAACUCCGUGCCAGCAGCCGUGGUAAUACGGAGGGUGCGAGCGUUAAUCGGAAUUACUGGGCGUAAAGCGCUCGUAGGCGGUAUGUCAAGUCAAGGGUGAAAUCCCCGAGCUCAACGUGGGAACUGCCUUUGAAACUGGCAAACUGGAGUGUGUGAGAGGAUAGUGGAAUUCCAGGUGUAGGAGUGAAAUCCGUAGAUAUCUGGAGGAACAUCAGUGGCGAAGGCGACUAUCUGGCACAUAACUGACGCUGAGGAGCGAAAGCGUGGGUAGCAAACAGGAUUAGAUACCCGAGUAGUC
rnacentral:rRNA from 1 species